rnacentral:rRNA from 1 species
AUUGAACGCUGGCGGCAUGCUUUACACAUGCAAGUCGAACGGCAGCGCGGGCUUCGGCCUGGCGGCGAGUGGCGAACGGGUGAGUAAUACAUCGGAACGUGCCAGUAGUGGGGGAUAGCUCGGCGAAAGCCGGAUUAAUACCGCAUACGACCUGAGGGUGAAAGCGGGGGAUCUUCGGACCUCGCGCUAUUGGAGCGGCCGAUGGCAGAUUAGCUAGUUGGUGGGGUAAAGGCCUACCAAGGCGACGAUCUGUAGCUGGUCUGAGAGGACGACCAGCCACACUGGGACUGAGACACGGCCCAGACUCCUACGGGAGGCAGCAGUGGGGAAUUUUGGACAAUGGGCGAAAGCCUGAUCCAGCAAUGCCGCGUGUGUGAUGAAGGCCUUCGGGUUGUAAAGCACUUUUGGCGGGAACGAAAAGGACUGUGCAAAUACCACGGUUCGAUGACGGUACCCGCAGAAUAAGCACCGGCUAACUACGUG